rnacentral:lncRNA from 1 species
CACUUUUGCUGUUAAAAGAUCUCAUGAAGCCUUCCUAGCCCUUGUGAUCAUGGAACUUGUCAUUACCUUCUUAUUCUAUUUACUCUAUCUACUGAAGUUGGAUGCACAGCUAAAAUUCAUGUUUUGGCCUUUGGCUGAUGCUUUCAAUUCCUUGGUGGCAGCACUGUUUCUCCUCAUUGUCGGCUUGUGUGCAACAAUCAUAAAGACCAUUAAGGAAACAUUAAUUGGAGGUGUAUUCUGUUUGAUGCUUUGCGUUCUUUGUAUAAUAGAUGCUACUUUAAUCCUGAGAAAAGUUACUUUUAAUAGGUCAUAGUAGGAAGAGAUGGUAUCCAAAAAUAGAAUGGCCCACUGAGCCAAAUAAAUUAUAUAAAACAGCCA